GUCGAGAAUUUUUCUCAAUGGGCGAAAGCCUGAAGGAGCGACGCCGCGUGGGGGAUGAAUGGCUUCGGCCCGUAAACCCCUGUCAUUUGUGAACAAACCUCUCCGGUUAAUAGCCGGAGAGCUGAUAGUAGCAGAAGAGGAAGGGACGGCUAACUCUGUGCCAGCAGCCGCGGUAAUACAGAGGUCCCAAGCGUUGUUCGGAUUCACUGGGCGUAAAGGGUGCGUAGGUGGCCGGGAAAGUUCGGUGUGAAAGCUCCAAGCUCAACUUGGAAAUGUCAUCGAAAACUUCUUGGCUCGAGGAUUGAAAGGGAGACUGGAAUUCUCGGUGUAGCAGUGAAAUGCGUAGAUAUCGAGAGGAACACCGGUGGCGAAGGCGAGUCUCUGGGCAAAUCCUGACACUGAGGCACGAAAGCUGGGGGAGCAAACAGGAUUAGAAACCCGGGUAGUCC
rnacentral:rRNA from 1 species